GAUGAACGCUGGCGGCGUGCCUAAUACAUGCAAGUCGAGCGAACGGACGAGAAGCUUGCUUCUCUGAUGUUAGCGGCGGACGGGUGAGUAACACGUGGAUAACCUACCUAUCAGACUGGGAUAACUUCGGGAAACCGGAGCUAAUACCGGAUAAUAUUUUGCACCGCAUGGUUCAAAAGUGAAAGACGGUCUUGCUGUCACUUAUAGAUGGAUCCGCGCUGCAUUAGCUAGUUGGUAAGGUAACGGCUUACCAAGGCAACGAUGCAUAGCCGACCUGAGAGGGUGAUAGGCGACAUUAGAGCUGAGACACGGACCAGACGCCUACGGGAGGCAGCAGUAGGGAAUCGGACGCAAUGGGCGGAAGCCUGACGGAGCAACGCGGCGUGAGUGAUGAAGGUGUUCGGAGCGUAAAACUCUGUUACUAGGGAAGAACAGAUGUGUAAGGAACUGUGCAGAUAUUGACGGUACCUAAUCAGAAAGCCACGGCUAACUACGUG
rnacentral:rRNA from 1 species